rnacentral:lncRNA from 1 species
UUGAAAUAUUUUUAUAACUAUGUAACGAAGCCUACACCCAUGACGAGUCUGUCGCCUUGGAAACAGACAAUCAUGUCCUGGUUGCCAAACAAGAAAAUGACGAUGCGACAGUUUCCAACGAAAUAGAUGACUACGCUCAGAUUACAUGUAAGUAAAAAGCUAGAGCGAAUAUAAAUUGGAUAAACCUAAAGGAAUUUUACCGAAUGGAAUUUUUUCAAUUAACUGACGUUCACUCACCCGUAUUCUGGCAUUUGAAACACCUUACUUCUUGCCCAUAGCCUUCUGGCCCUAUUCCAACACCGCAAAAUAUAUGGACAGCACGAUGACAUGAUGCGCACAUAUGUGCCCCCGAUACCUCCCCAAAGCAAACAUGGCACUGAUCAUCUGUUAUAUCUAAAGUUUGAAAUUACAUGUAUACUACGAAGUGCAGAAAAUGUCAGAUUGUUUAUCUUUUUUAGUCAAGUUACAACGUUUACUUACUGGUAAUCUGCAUGGAAUGAUCAUCGAUCUCCAUGGAAACUAUAGUAGAUUCAUUAUGGUGUUCUACAUAUUUAUAUAGAUGGUAUACGAGACAAAUAUCAAGGGAAAAUAGGGUGGCUACUUUUUGCGGAUUCGUGAACAAUGAUAUUGUGCACAAGACACAAAUAUGGCUGCGUUUAUUUUUUCGCGUUUUCCUGUGAAUAUAGCUAUUUAGCUAUGCAUGACUGCCACUCAUUUCUGGCUUCAGCUAAGGUGGCUACAAAUUCCCCUUAAAAACAAAUGUUUAUAGAAUGCA